GCAGACUCACUCUGCAUCCGGCUGCAGCCCCAGGCGGGUGCUUUUUCUGUCUGCCACAGAAACAUCCCGGGGUGCUGUGACCACCUCGACCUGUCAAAGGGCGAUACAGCCAUCUGGGGACACAGGG
ensembl:snoRNA